UACGUAGGGUGCAAGCGUUGUCCGGAAUUAUUGGGCGUAAAGAGCUCGUAGGCGGUUCGUCGCGUCGGCUGUGAAAACCCGAGGCUCAACCUCGGGCCUGCAGUCGAUACGGGCGGACUGGAGUUCGGCAGGGGAGACUGGAAUUCCUGGUGUAGCGGUGAAAUGCGCAGAUAUCAGGAGGAACACCGGUGGCGAAGGCGGGUCUCUGGGCCGAAAUUGACGCUGAGGAGCGAAAGCGUGGGGAGCAAACAGG
rnacentral:rRNA from 1 species